GAUGAACGCUGGCGGCGUGCCUAAUACAUGCAAGUCGAGCGAACGGACGAGAAGCUUGCUUCUCUGAUGUUAGCGGCGGACGGGUGAGUAACACGUGGAUAACCUACCUAUAAGACUGGGAUAACUUCGGGAAACCGGAGCUAAUACCGGAUAAUAUUUUGAACCGCAUGGUUCAAAGGUGAAAGACGGUCUUGCUGUCACUUAUAGAUGGAUCCGCGCUGCAUUAGCUAGUUGGUAAGGUAACGGCUUACCAAGGCAACGAUGCAUAGCCGACCUGAGAGGGUGCUCCGCCACACUGGAACUGAGACCCGGUCCCGACUCCUACGGGAGGCAGCAGUAGGGAAUCUUCCGCAAAGGGCGAAAGCCUGACGGAGCAACGCCGCGUGAGUGAUGAAGGUCUUCGGAUCGUAAAACUCUGUUAUUAGGGAAGAACAUAUGUGUAAGUAACUGUGCACAUCUUGACGGUACCUAAUCAGAAAGCCACGGCUAACUACGUG
rnacentral:rRNA from 1 species